rnacentral:rRNA from 1 species
GAAAGGCGCUUUCGGGUGUCGCUGAUGGAUGGACCCGCGGUGCAUUAGCUAGUUGGUGAGGUAACGGCUCACCAAGGCGACGAUGCAUAGCCGACCUGAGAGGGUGAUCGGCCACAUUGGGACUGAGACACGGCCCAAACUCCUACGGGAGGCAGCAGUAGGGAAUCUUCGGCAAUGGACGAAAGUCUGACCGAGCAACGCCGCGUGAGUGAAGAAGGUUUUCGGAUCGUAAAACUCUGUUGUUAGAGAAGAACAAGGAUGAGAGUAACUGUUCAUCCCUUGACGGUAUCUAACCAGAAAGCCACGGCUAACUACGUGCCAGCAGCCGCGGUAAUACGUAGGUGGCAAGCGUUGUCCGGAUUUAUUGGGCGUAAAGCGAGCGCAGGCGGUUUCUUAAGUCUGAUGUGAAAGCCCCCGGCUCAACCGGGGAGGGUCAUUGGAAACUGGGAGACUUGAGUGCAGAAGAGGAGAGUGGAAUUCCAUGUGUAGCGGUGAAAUGCGUAGAUAUAUGGAGGAACACCAGUGGCGAAGGCGGCUCUCUGGUCUGUAACUGACGCUGAGGCUCGAAAGCGUGGGGAGCAAACAGGAUUAGAUACCCUGGUAGUCCACGCCGUAAACGAUG